rnacentral:rRNA from 1 species
GUAAACGGCGGCCGUAACUAUAACGGUCCUAAGGUAGCGAAAUUCCUUGUCAGGUAAGUUCUGACCCGCACGAAAGGCGUAAUGAUUUGGGCACUGUCUCAACAGCCCGCCCGGCGAAAUUGUAGUACUGGUGAAGAUGCCAGUUACCCGCAACUAGACGGAAAGACCCCAUGGAGCUUUACUGCAGCUUAAUACUGGAAUUCGGUAAAUCAUGUACAGGAUAGGUGGGAGACUAGGAAGCAUUGGCGUCAGCCAGUGUGGAGUCGCUGGUGGGAUACCACUCUUGAUUUGCUGGGUUUCUAACCUGCGGCCGUGAAUCCGGUCGGGGGACACUGUUAGGCGGGCAGUUUGACUGGGGCGGUCGCCUCCAAAAGAGUAACGGAGGCGCUCAAAGGUUGGCUCAGCACGGACGGAAAUCGUGCAAUGAGUGUAAACGUAUAAGCCAGCCUAACUGCGAGACCGACGGGUCGAGCAGUAACGAAAGUUGGAGUUAGUGAUCCGGUGGUAUGUGAGUGGAAAUGCCAUCGCUCAACGGAUAAAAGCUACCCUGGGGAUAACAGGCUGAUCUCCCCCAAGCGUCCACAGCGACGGGGAGGUUUGGCACCUCGAUGUCGGCUCGUCACAUCCUGGGGCUGUAUUCGGUCCCAAGGGUUCGGCUGUUCGCCGAUUAAAGUGGCACGCGAGCUGGGUUCAGAACGUCGUGAGACAGUUCGGUCCCUAUCUGUUGCGGGCGAAAGAGAUUUGAAGGGAGCUGUCCUUAGUACGAGAGGACCGGGAUGGACGUACCUCUGGUGCACCAGUUGUCCUGCCAAGGGCAUAGCUGGGUAGCUAUGUACGGACGAGAUAAACGCUGAAAGCAUCUAAGCGUGAAACUCCCCCUAAGAUGAGAUCUCUCAUCCUUCAUGGAGUAAGGGCCCAGGAAGACUACCUGGUUGAUAGGCAAGAGGUGGAAGCGCAGUAAUGUGUGUAGCUGACUUGUACUAAUAGCCCGAGGGCUUGACCUA